rnacentral:rRNA from 1 species
UACGUAGGGCGCAAGCGUUAUCCGGAAUUAUUGGGCGUAAAGAGCUCGUAGGCGGUUUGUCGCGUCUGCCGUGAAAGUCCGGGCUCAACUCCGGAUCUGCGGUGGUACGGGCAGACUAGAGUGAUGUAGGGGAGACUGGAAUUCCCGGUGUAGCGGUGAAAUGCGCAGAUAUCGGGAGGAACACCCGUAGCGAAGGCGGCACUCUGGCCGGAACUGACGCUGAGGAGCGAAAGCG